rnacentral:tRNA from 1 species
GCCCGGGUGGUGAAAUGGUAUACACAGGAGACUUAAAAUCUCCCGUCGCAAGGCAUGUGGGUUCGACUCCCACCCCGGGCA